UCUUGUUCAUUCUUGCUCAUGAAACCUUUCUGUAUACUGGAAGUGCAUAAUAGAGGAAAGGCUCAGUGGAAUGGAGGAAGAGAGAUAAUCAUAGAAACCCACAUUGAGCUAAAUGACCCCUGGGAUGCAAUUUGAAGAUGAGUAUUCCAAAUUAUUUUUUCUCUGUCCAGAUGAUAGACUAAUAAGAGAAUCAACCAAUCAGUCAAUCAAACUCAAUCAAUAAGAACCGAGCAAGGCUCAUCUGAGCAAUGAUGGAUGGUACUUGAAAGUGAAUUAGUGACUGAUUUGGAGAGAUUUCAGAGAGGUAGAGCUAACAGUGGCAAAUCAAGUUAACUUGUAUAUAUUGCUGACAGGAUGUGGGCUGGGCAAUAGCAAAUUCUUUCCAAUAGCCUCCAACUGCUUGUGAAGCUGACCUAGAGGCUGCUUCAAAUCUGAUAGAUUGAAACAAUUCCAUCUGAAAUCAUUUUUUCAGCCUUGUAAUUUUUGUAAUAAUAUGUAUCAAGCCUAGAAACCUGCAUUUAAGCAUCUGAAUACAUCUGAACAGAGGCAAACAAUUCCCAACAAUGCCUCCAUGACAAUAUGCUGUUGGUUGCUAAUUGGAAAAAAGCACAAGUAGUAAUUAGAAGGCAUUCUGUUGCUUGCUGGAAGGCUUCUCCCCUAAAUGGUUAAAAUAUUCAGCUUCAUAGGGUAACAACCUGAUUUAAAUUUUUGGAGUGUUGUGUUAGCAAUGCAUAUUUACUUUUUUUUUUUUAGUCAUGUAGGAUGUGUGCACCAACUUAAAAAUCAAGUCAUGCUCCAAAUGGUUACUAAUAUGGCCACUCCUGGGACCUCCUCUUUACUCCCUCUAGAGACGAAAUCCCUCUCAUGUCAAUUCACCUCAAUGCCUAUCUAAGCCCCUGCCCUUCCUCCCAGUCCUUUUCAGGCCAUGGUGCCAGCAGGCUCUUUUCCCCAGGUGUUGACAAUCAACCCUUCAGCAAGAUGAUUGCCAAACAGAAGAGGAACAUUUUGUAAUGCAUCCUGAAAGAAUGUCAAGCCCAGACUUUUAGAAAAUUCAGAAAUGAGGAUUACAGCACCUAUUAAUGCAUAAUAAUGUGGAAUGUGGACUGAAGAUACUGCCAAGAAGUGCUGACCCUGAGGACCAUUUCAGAGUCUACUCCAGAGGACUUCCUGUCUCUUCCCCUUGUUACCUUUCCUCCUUUCCAGACUGGCAGUGGUAU